UUUUAUGGAGAGUUUGAUCCUGGCUCAGGAUGAACGCUGGCGGCGUGCCUAAUACAUGCAAGUCGAGCGAACAGACGAGGAGCUUGCUCCUCUGACGUUAGCGGCGGACGGGUGAGUAACACGUGGAUAACCUACCUAUAAGACUGGGAUAACUUCGGGAAACCGGAGCUAAUACCGGAUAAUAUAUUGAACCGCAUGGUUCAAUAGUGAAAGACGGUUUUGCUGUCACUUAUAGAUGGAUCCGCGCCGCAUUAGCUAGUUGGUAAGGUAACGGCUUACCAAGGCAACGAUGCGUAGCCGACCUGAGAGGGUGAUCGGCCACACUGGAACUGAGACACGGUCCAGACUCCUACGGGAGGCAGCAGUAGGGAAUC
rnacentral:rRNA from 1 species